rnacentral:rRNA from 1 species
GACGAACGCUGGCGGCGUGCUUAACACAUGCAAGUCGAACGAAGAGCGAUGGAAGCUUGCUUCUAUCAAUCUUAGUGGCGAACGGGUGAGUAACGCGUAAUCAACCUGCCCUUCAGAGGGGGACAACAGUUGGAAACGACUGCUAAUACCGCAUACGAUCUAAUCUCGGCAUCGAGGAUAGAUGAAAGGUGGCCUCUACAUGUAAGCUAUCACUGAAGGAGGGGAUUGCGUCUGAUUAGCUAGUUGGAGGGGUAACGGCCCACCAAGGCGAUGAUCAGUAGCCGGUAUGAGAGGAUGAACGGCCACAUUGGGACUGGGACACGGCCCAGACUCCUACGGGAGGCAGCAGUGGGGAAUCUUCCGCAAUGGACGAAAGUCUGACGGAGCAACGCCGCGUGAGUGAUGACGGCCUUCGGGUUGUAAAGCUCUGUUAAUCGGGACGAAAGGCCUUCUUGCGAAUAGUGAGAAGGAUUGACGGUACCGGAAUAGAAAGCCACGGCUAACUACGUG